AACGAACGCUGGCGGUGCGCCUAACACAUGCAAGUCGUACGGGGUGCACGGAGCUGAUCGUUUCGGCGUGAAGCACCGUGUUACUUAGUGGCGAACGGGUGAGUAACACAUAGGUAACCAACCCUUAGGUCUGGGAUACUCCCGAGAAAUCGGGCACAAUACCGGAUAUAAUCCCGAAGUGCAAUUCUUCAGGAUGAAAGCUUCGAGCAAUCGUGGCGCCUUUGGAUGGGCCUGUGUCCUAUCAGCUAGUUGGUGAGGUAACGGCUCACCAAGGCUAAGACGGGUAGCCGGACUGAGAGGUCGAUCGGCCACACUGGAACUGAGACACGGUCCAGACUCCUACGGGAGGCAGCAGUGAGGAAUUUUGCGCAAUGGGCGAAAGCCUGACGCAGCGACACCGCGUGGGGGAAGAAGGCCCUCGGGUUGUAAAGCCCUUUCGUGAGGGAAAAAGUCCCGAGCAAUCGGGAUGAUGGUACCUCAGGAAGAAGCCACGGCUAACUCUGUG
rnacentral:rRNA from 1 species